rnacentral:rRNA from 1 species
UUAGAGUUUUGGACCUGGCUCAGGAUGAACGCUGGCGGCGUGCCUAAUACAUGCAAGUCGAGCGAACAGAUAAGGAGCUUGCUCCUUUGACGUUAGCGGCGGACGGGUGAGUAACACGUGGAUAACCUACCUAUAAGACUGGGAUAACUUCGGGAAACCGGAGCUAAUACCGGAUAACAUAUUGAACCGCAUGGUUCAAUAGUGAAAGGCGGCUUUGCUGUCACUUAUAGAUGGAUCCGCGCCGUAUUAGCUAGUUGGUAAGGUAACGGCUUACCAAGGCAACGAUACGUAGCCGACCUGAGAGGGUGAUCGGCCACACUGGAACUGAGACACGGUCCAGACUCCUACGGGAGGCAGCAGUAGGGAAUCUUCCGCAAUGGGCGAAAGCCUGACGGAGCAACGCCGCGUGAGUGAUGAAGGUCUUCGGAUCGUAAAACUCUGUUAUCAGGGAAGAACAAAUGUGUAAGUAANCUGUGCACAUCUGACGACCNAUNNAGNC